GUCCCGUGCAGCUCAGUUGGUAGAGCAUGGCGCUUGCAAUGUCAGUGUUGUGGGUUCGAUUCCCACGGGGGACC
rnacentral:tRNA from 1 species